GCAAGAUGGCGGCCACCAGAGCGAUAUAUGCGAUGUUUUCAAAAAAUUGUUUUAGAAAAAUGGAUGCUCUAUCCCCUUUAAAAACUGGAUUUUUGGACUUCUCAAAUGAUGUAGUUCCUCUUAAAAAUGGGUCAUUUUGGAGGGUCAGUUGUCCUUUAAAUGUACACAAAACUCUUUAACCGGAGCUAAAGUCAGGCAGGCUACACACAAGCUAGGGGAUGAACAACAGUUUUUCCACGACUACGCAUUCGUUUAAUCUUUUCAUCGAGUCCAAGGGUGCUUUGAAAGAAGCUAUAUACAUCUCUAUUGGGGUUUUAGCCGCAUUGAUUUGCGUUGGUCUAGUGGUUGACAAGAUUUUCCGGAGAGCAGAGUCACACAAGACGGAAGAGCAAGAGUUAAAAGUUCAUGAAGAUGAUGACAUCAUGGAAGACAUUGCCAAAGGAAAGGAAAUGUUGAAGGAACUACAACUACUUCAUCAAAGACUGGAACAAAAGAUCAACUUAAAUUCUGCUCGGAAAAGAAAAUCAGAAAUUUCUAAGUAGAUACAGCUAUUAAGUUCAAUGUGUUAAAUUAAAAACAAAUUAAGUUAGGAAAGGUAAAACCAAUUUUAAAAAUGUUUAUUUAAUUUGAAUCUCCCAGCACUCCCCCAAAUAAAAAAAUAACAUUUCCUUAUGAUUUCAAAACACUACAUAAAGCAUAUAGAAACAAGUGGACUAUUGAAUAUUGAAUAUUCCUAUUGCCUGAUCUAAUAGUGGUCGAUUUCAAAGUCUAUGUAUGGUAGAAAAAAUAGUUUUUGAUGUAAUAACAAAUGAUGACGACGAUGCAACAAUGAUGACGAUGGGAAAUUAACAGUGAUUCCAAAGAGUGCCUCUUCUACCACUGAAUUUAAAUUGGAAUUUAGAAGUUGAUUUUUGCAGAGAGCUAGGAAAGGCAAAGAACCCAGAGAAAAUCCCUCCAAGCACAGGAGAGAAAUAACUAGCUAAUUGUAAUCUAUACACACAUACAUCAAAUCAAAUCCCACUGUUAUGAGAUUCUAAAUAAAAAUCAAUUGAAAUUU